UAUCCACAAACCACCUGUUGAUUAGAGAGAAAGAAAAAAAAAAAAAAAAAAAAAAAAAAAAAGUUGCUUUGGAAUGGCAAAUCCACAGAGGGAAAAAAAAAAAAAAAAGUCUUUUUUCCUGACUAUUCUCAUGUAUUUCAUGUGGAAAUUUAAUAUUGCCCUUGUCCUUUAAUUCUGAUUUACCUGUUUUUAAGACUAACAAAUACCCAGUAAAGAUAUCUGAAAGCUAUCUCCGUCUUUCCUGAAACGAGUAUUUUGAAAGAGGCUUAUCCUAUAUCUAGCAAAUUCUAAUCCCUACCAGCUAAACUCUGGAAGCAAGUGAGGAAUGUAGGUAGAAAGCUUUUCUCUUUCAAAGUCGCAGGGUAAUAGCACGUCCUUUCUGUUCCAAAGUCAUAGUGAAGACAAGUUCCUCUUGAUGAAAGCGCCACAGUUAAUCCGUCUCAGGAUUGGUGUCUCCAUGUAGCACCCUGGGGAACUAGAAUAAAAAGAAGUGUUUUUCGCCUGGUGAGCUGUAGAGUUACAGUGCAGGAAAUCCUUGUUGUACAGUACACUAUAUUGUUUCGCUAAUGUAUUUUUUCUGUGCUCUGAAUGAAGCGCUUAUAUGCAGUGAAAUUGGCUUUGAGGCAACGGAUGAAACUGGAAUGGUGUCAAUGAUCUGCCUUGCAGCAGAACAAGUGAUCAGCUGAUGGAUCAUGUUAAACCACAGAUGGCUGGAUCCCACCACGGCUGCUCCUGCUGGCAAGCCCAUCAGCAUGGGGAGCUCCUCUAUUAAUGCCUGUGAGGCUGCUCUCUGUAGCGAGGAUACUUCCAGCACGCACUUUCUAAGGAGCCAGGCUCUGGUCUUGGUGAUUAAUUGUGAUCAUUUGUUUAAGAGAACAACCUGCUAUUGAACGUGAGACCUGAUCUCCUGACACAGCCCUGAACUUCAGGCCUCUUUAUCUGUGCUGCAGUACGGGGAGAGUCCUCACCAGGCAGAGGGCCGCCGUGCAAGCAGUGUGCGGACACGCGCAAUGGGAGAGUUCCUGUUUCACUGAUUUUAUCACUUUAUUGCUCAGUGUUAUAAGGUCUCUCCACCCUCAAUGAAAGCUGAUAUUCUAUUGUUUUUUUGUUGUUUACUUGAUACUACAAAGCUGUUCAGAUACAAGGAGUAAGAGCGAUACAUUUUUAAAAGGCAUAUAAUUACCAUAAAGUAUUUGUGUGGUUAGACAAUUAAGAACACUCAGGCUAUUUCCUCAGCUUCAGAGAAACAUUUUCUUUGGAUAUUCUCUUUUGCAUUCUGAAGAGUUGCUUUUAUAUUUAAAACCAGGCCAAUAUAUAAAAAGCUUAGCUCUGGAUGAUGAAAGGUUUUCAAGAAGCAGUUCUUGGGGACUAGCUGGAGAAUAUUUCAUCAGUGUUUAUUGCUAAUCAAUUUAAGCUGUCAUCGUAACUGAUGUGAUAAGGUUUCUGGUCAGCUAAUGCUGGAUAUAAUCAAACCUCACCUUCCCAGGUACCCUUAUACAACAGGUAUGAGGCUCUGGAACUUGAUGGCCAGGCAAACGAUGAUGUGGUUGAAGGUCCAUCAUGGCUGUAAGGGUCACCUAGAGCAAGUCAGCCUACUCUUC
ensembl:lncRNA